rnacentral:lncRNA from 1 species
CAUAGCUUAUUGGAUACACACACACUCGCAAUACAUCUUCUUCCAAUUCCUCCUUUCCCAUUUCCCAACAUACGCAUGUUUUAUUAUCAUUUGGAACGAUCGUAUCCGCCUAUCUAAGCAUAAGUAGAGGUAACAUAGUUAUAGUGAAAUUGAAAUUGUUGCUUGAUUAUGUAUUCUGUAUUUUGGUCAAAUAAAUGAAUAAAGUGAAUUAACAUUUUCUAGCCGUUUCCUUGUGAAUUCUAAUGUUAUAAGAGGUUAUUGUUUUAUUAGGAAAAUCACUAAUAGUAGACUGAAUAAACUAUGUCACUUCAGUACAUAUGAUAUUUUUUAUUAGUGAAUUCAUUCCCGCCAGAUAGAGUUCCAACAUUUUGUAUUUACUGUAUUCACAGAUCCUUGAGGGAGGUUUACAUCUGCAGCAACAAAUGAUUCGCAGAGAGCGAAAUAGACAAGCAGCUAUGCGUUGUCGGGAGCGUCAACGACAGAGGACAUACGCUUUGGCUCAGGAAGUACGCAAACUUGAAGAUGUUAACUCAAGACUACAAAAGGAGGUAUCAGCGUUACAAUUGGAGGCAGAGACCCUUAACGAUAUAUUACGUAAACACAACAGUGAAUGUGCCAUUGGAAGAAGGUAGAAAGUUCACGAUUUUACGAUAUCGCGUUCAUACGGUGCACUCUGAAGCUAAUUGAUUGACACCUAGCACUCCCCAGACGCAGACGAAAGAAGUUCUCUAGUUUAAACGAACCAGAACCAUGUAGAGAGCACGGAUGGUGCCUGAAUUUCGCCAUCGGGUGUGUGGGUGGGCGAGCGAGCGAACCAAGCGAACGACCUUUCUAGAGUGUAAAGUAAACUUAAAAACUGACCAUUCAGUGUACAAAAUAUUGAAUUUUUAUGAGUUGAAAGACUGACUGUUCCAUUCGACAAGGCGGAGCUAAGAUGUGUUGAAUAUAACAGUCAAUAUUUCAACGUAUGAAAAUAUUCUUUCCAUUCCAAUAAAAAACAUUAAUUAUUUGUUUUAUAACACACCUAAAAUAGAUUCUUGUCAUUUGAUAUUUUAUUAAAAAAUCUAACUUUUUCUGAAAGGAGAUUCUCGAUAUUUUUGAAAAAUUCUACCCUUUUUCCAAAUAGAACAGUCCAGCGAUUUUAUUUUAGGUUGAUGGUCAUAGCGUAUCCUAGGCAACGUGCAAUGGUGCCUAGGAUGGAAAGAAAAUGCACGAAUGGAACUAAAAAUGUACAGUGGAACUAAAUUUCCAUAAAGAGUGACGAAAUAGAGUAAAUAACCAAUGCCUCGUGAUACGAAAUCCACCAAUCAAAUAUAACAGGGAUAUAAUUAGGUGUGUUAUAAAACGUGUUAUUCAAUAGCUAGGAAUACGCGUAUGUCCCUCAAACACACAAGUAUAAAAUAUAUGUUUACGCUGUUGUUUUGUGCUACCUUAGCAAUAAUAGCCCAUAGAGAAGUCAGUGGUGGCCUUAUUUAUUCGGUUUCAAAUUCUGUUCUAUGAACGAUUGUAUUCGAAUUUACAUAGUUUAUAGGCCUACUUUUAAUUUAUCUUAACGAAGACACAUGUACAUGUAGUUAGCCUGAUAUUAUUAUAUGUGUAUAUGCAUGUAUAGGCCUAUAUAAUAUUUUAUAUUUAUAAAAAAUGAACAUAUAUUUAUUAUAUUAUGUUAUCCCAUAUCGUAUCGUGUACUAUCAUAUCAAAUCAUAUCAUAGAUUUAUAUCAUAAUAUGCAUAUUCAUAAUAUACCGUAUUAAAUACUUUAAUCUUUAGAUUUAAAUAACACAGUAUUUAUUUAACUUAAGAUUUUUAUCGUUUAUCGUUUAUAUGAAAUGUGCUUACUGUAUCAUGCCGAUGUUUGUCUUAUUUUGUAGAUGAACCACUCGACAGCAGUAAUUUAGUUCACUUUUGGGGUGUUUCCCAGUCUAGUAUCUGAGCCUACUUGUUUCGUUUUUGUCAUCUUCCUUUUUAUAAAUGUUAAUAUUAAUUUAAUUAUUAAGACAAAUAAAUAAAUUGAAAUAAAAGGUGGCGCGCCUUGCUUGAUACGUCCAUUAGAAAGCGCUAAUGUCAGUAGUAAUAAAAACUGAGUAUUAAGAUGAUUAUCUUGAACCUAGACGUAAAGGAGGGAAAAAAAUAUUGAAUUCAAUUUAAGCGAUGCGUCAGUACACAAGUGUGUUCUCCAGUUGGGCAGAAGACGACUAUCACCCACUUCCUCAUCAACCUAGUUUUUGUUUGUUUUCUCCUGGGAGCAUAUUAUAUCACGCAAUGCUUCCUCAACACACUAUCAAAUUUUCUUUGACAAAAAAAAGUCUUGUAUGCCCAUAUUUAGUCACGAUGUGCCCAUAUUUAGGUGAUGUGAUGUCAUCAUGACCAUAUUUAGGCAUGUCACAUGUUUUUGUCAAAUAGUCUGAACCGUACUUUAAGCUCAUUUGAUUGAUACCGGUAUUAUUUUCACUUCGAUGCCUAUAUACUUUUACAUUAUGUGUUUAUGUGCAGAUUUGUUGUUUUAGAUGUAAAAGAAUUAUAAUGCAGGCAAUAA